UUUGGUGCUUUUUAUAAAAGUGAAAAGGGAAUGUGGUGUAAAUCCACAACAGCCCCCGCUACUGUAAUUGGGAUGAAAACUGUUAUAGGCCAUUGAAUUUAUACUAAGUGUAAAGCCAUCUGCCGGAUUGUAAUAUUCGGUUUUGCAUGAGGUAUUUAUUUGAGAAGGUGACAGCGAGUAAAAUGACCAAAAGUCAGGAAACCUGCCAUUUGAUUG
rnacentral:ncRNA from 1 species